AUCUUCCGCAAUGGACGAAAGUCUGACGGAGCAACGCCGCGUGAACGAUGAAGGUUUUCGGAUCGUAAAGUUCUGUUGUUAGGGAAGAACAAACUUCGUUUGAAUAAGGCGGAGUCAUGACGGUACCUAACGAGAAAGCCACGGCUAACUACGUGCCAGCAGCCGCGGUAAUACGUAGGUGGCGAGCGUUAUCCGGAAUUAUUGGGCGUAAAGCGCGCGCAGGUGGUUUCUUAAGUCUGAUGUGAAAGCCUACGGCUUAACCGUAGAAUUGCAUUGGAAACUGGGGGACUUGAGUGCAGAAGAGGAAAGUGGAAUUCCACGUGUAGCGGUGAAAUGCGUAGAGAUGUGGAGGAACACCGGUGGCGAAGGCGACUUUCUGGUCUGCAACUGACACUGAGGCGCGAAAGCGUGGGGAGCAAACAG
rnacentral:rRNA from 1 species